GAUGAAGAACGUAGCGAAAUGCGAUAAGUAAUGUGAAUUGCAGAAUUCAGUGAAUCAUCGAAUCUUUGAACGCACAUUGCGCCCGCUAGUAUUCUGGCGGGCAUGCCUGUCCGAGCGUCAUUUCAACCCUCAAGCCCCCGGGCUUGGUGUUGGGGAUCGGCGAGCCUCCGCGCCCGCCGUCCCCUAAAUCUAGUGGCGGUCUCGCUGUAGCUACCUCUGCGUAGUAGCACACCUCGCACUGGGAAACAGCGCGGCCACGCCGUUAAACCCCCAAUUUCUGAACGUUUGACCUCGGAUCAGGUAGGAAUACCCGCUGAACUUAAGCAUAUCAAUAAGCGGAGGA
rnacentral:misc_RNA from 1 species